rnacentral:tRNA from 1 species
UUCUUGGUGGUCCAGUAGCUAAGACACUGUGCUCUCAAUGCAGGGGGCCUGGGUUCAAGCCCUGGUCAGAAAA